AUGGGACACUUUGGCGUGAAGAAGACAGAGGACGUACUUGCUACACAUUUCUUUUGGCCAAAGAUGAGACGGGAUGUUGAGUGUUUUAUUUCUCGAUGCACUAUAUGUCAAAAAGCUAAGUCACGACUCAAUCCUCAUGGUUUAUAUAUGCCUUUGCCUGUACCUAGUGUUCCUUGGGAGGAUAUAUCUAUGGACUUUGUUUUAGGUUUACCUCGAACAAAGAAGGGGAGGGAUAGCAUAUUUGUUGUCGUGGAUAGAUUCUCGAAAAUGGCACACUUUAUACCAUGUCAUAAAAGCGAUGAUGCUGUUAAUGUUGCUGAUUUGUUCUUUCGUGAAAUUAUUCGCUUGCAUGGUGUGCCAAAUACUAUUGUUUCAGAUCGUGAUACUAAAUUUCUUAGCCACUUUUGGAGAUGUUUAUGGGCUAAGUUGGGGACUAAACUGCUUUUUAGUACUACUUGUCACCCCCAAACUGAUGGACAAACUGAAGUAGUCAAUAGAACGUUGUCUACUAUGCUUAGGGCUGUUUUGAAGAAUAAUAAGAAAAUGUGGGAGGAAUGUUUGCCUCAUAUUGAAUUUGCUUAUAAUCGUUCAUUGCAUUCUACUACUAAGAUGUGCCCUUUUGAAGUUGUGUAUGGUUUCCUACCUCAUGCACCUAUUGAUUUGUUGCCUCUUCCAUCUUCGGAGAAGGUUAAUUUUGAUGCUAAACAACGUGCUGAAUUGAUUUUAAAAAUGCAUGAGUUAACUAAGGAAAACAUUGAGCGCAUGAAUGCUAAAUAUAAACUUGCUGGAGAUAAGGGUAGAAAACAUGUUGUGUUUGCACCUGGAGAUCUUGUUUGGUUACAUUUGUGUAAGGAUAGAUUUCCUGAUUUGCGCAAAUCAAAGUUAAUGCCACGUGCUGAUGGUCCCUUUAAGGUGUUAGAGAAAAUAAAUGAUAAUGCAUAUAAACUUGAGCUGCCUGCAGAUUUGGGGUUAGUCCCACUUUUAACAUUGCAGAUUUGA
rnacentral:rRNA from 1 species